GAUGAACGCUAGCGGCAGGCCUAACACAUGCAAGUCGAGGGAGAAGCCCUUUCGGGGGCCGAAACCGGCGCACGGGUGCGUAACGCGUAUGCAACCUACCUUUCACAGGGGGAUAGCCCGAAGAAAUUUGGAUUAAUACCCCAUAAUAUUAUUGGAUGGCAUCAUUUGAUAAUUAAAACUGCGGUGGUGAAAGAUGGGCAUGCGUCCUAUUAGCUAGUUGGAGUGGUAACGGCACCCCAAGGCUACGAUAGGUAGGGGUCCUGAGAGGGAGAUCCCCCACACGGGUACUGAGACAGGGACCAGACUCCUACGGGAGGCAGCAGUGAGGAAUAUUGGUCAAUGGUCGGAAGACUGAACCAGCCAUGCCGCGUGCAGGAAGAAUGCCUUAUGGGUUGUAAACUGCUUUUAUAUGGGAAGAAUAAGGCGUACGUGUACGUUGAUGACGGUACCAUAUGAAUAAGCAUCGGCUAACUCCGUG
rnacentral:rRNA from 1 species